rnacentral:rRNA from 1 species
UUGAACGCUGGCGGCAUGCUUUACACAUGCAAGUCGAACGGCAGCGGGGUAGUGCUUGCACUACUGCCGGCGAGUGGCGAACGGGUGAGUAAUAUAUCGGAACGUACCGAGUAAUGGGGGAUAACCAAUCGAAAGAUUGGCUAAUACCGCAUACGUCCUGAGGGAGAAAGCGGGGGAUCGCAAGACCUCGCGUUAUUCGAGCGGCCGAUAACUGAUUAGCUAGUUGGUGGGGUAAAGGCCUACCAAGGCGACGAUCAGUAGCGGGUCUGAGAGGACGAUCCGCCACACUGGGACUGAGACACGGCCCAGACUCCUACGGGAGGCAGCAGUGGGGAAUUUUGGACAAUGGGGGCAACCCUGAUCCAGCCAUGCCGCGUGUAUGAAGAAGGCCUUCGGGUUGUGAAGUACUUUUGUUAGGGAAGAAAAGGGAAGUGCUAAUACCACUUUUUGCUGACGGUACCUAAAGAAUAAGCACCGGCUAACUACGUG